UACAGAGACUGCAAGCGUUAUUCGGAUUCACUGGGCGUAAAGGGUGCGCAGGCGGUUUGGUGUGUCAGAUGUGAAAUCCCGAGGCUUAACCUCGGAACUGCGUCUGAAACUACUCGACUAGAGUACUGGAGAGGGAAACGGAAUUCACGGUGUAGCAGUGAAAUGCGUAGAUAUCGUGAGGAACACCAGAGGCGAAGGCGGUUUCCGGGACAGUUACUGACGCUCAGGCACGAAAGCAUGGGGAGCAAAAGGG
rnacentral:rRNA from 1 species